CCUACGGGAGACUGCAGUGGGGAAUAUUGGGCAAUGGGCGCAAGCCUGACCCAGCAACGCCGCGUGAAGGAAGAAGGCUUUCGGGUUGUAAACUUCUUUUGUCAGGGAAGAGUAGUAGACGUUACCUGACGCAUAAGCCACGGCUAACUACGUGCCAGCAGCCGCGGUAAUACGUAGGUGGCAAGCGUUGUCCGGAUUUACUGGGUGUAAAGGGCGUGUAGCCGGGUUGACAAGUCAGAUGUGAAAUCCUGCGGCUUAACCGCAGAACUGCAUUUGAAACUGUUGAUCUGGAGUGCUGGAGAGGCAGACGGAAUUCCCAGUGUAGCGGUGGAAUGCGUAGAUAUUAGGAGGAACACCAGUGGCGAAGGCGGUCUGCUGGACAGCAACUGACGGUGAGGCGCGAAAGCGUGGGGAGCAAACAGGAUUAGAUACCCCUGUAGUC
rnacentral:rRNA from 1 species